CAUUUGCCUCUGGAACCCACCGGUCACAGGUAUUGUCAGAGUGUCCUGUUUGGGGAUAACCCCCAUUCCAGGCACCCUCGAUGAAGAGCCAGGACUGGAACAUGGGAUCUGAGAGGGAAACGGCGGGAAAAGGGGAGACAGGCUAAUUCCAGAGGCCCCUGCCCAGCCAGCGCUCUGCCCUGGCUCCACCUACUGAGUCCUGUGUCUGCUGCAGGUAUCGGGCUUUCCGGGAUGACGAUGGGCAUUAUUCCCAGACCUACUGGAAUCUUCUUGCCAUCCGCCUGGCCUUCGUCAUUGUGUUUGAGGUAGCCGGGGCACCUGCUGAUUCUCCCAUCCAUGGCAUGACGCCCCCACCCUGUGCUUUGCGUAAUUCGAGCACGUGGUGAGGGGUCGCUGCGAUCACUUUCUGCUGUGUCAUCUUGUCAUCUUGGUCAAAUCAGAGCUCUUCUCUGCACCUGCGUUUUCCCUGCCUGGCCUCAAACCUGGCUUGUGGUGUGGACGUGCGUGCCUGGGCGUUGUGGUGUCUCCACAGGAGCUCCAGGGCCACAAAAGCUGGGGUGGCCUCUGCCCCUUCUGGGGUUCCUUUUCUUGCACAGCUGCUUUCUAGCUCUACCCACAGCUGGGAGCAGGUGCUGGAGCCCUGGCCUGCCUGGGCCUGUGAAGGCCACUCUGGGCGUUUGGGUGGGCUGAGUACCUUCCUCUGCUCCCAGCAUGUGGUUUUCUCCAUCGGCCGGCUCCUGGACCUCCUGGUGCCUGACAUCCCAGAGUCUGUGGAGAUCAAAGUGAAGCGGGAGUACUACCUGGCUAAGCAGGCGCUGGCUGAGAAUGAGGCUCUUUUUGGAACAAACGGAGCAAAGGAUGAGCAGCACCAGGGCUCAGAGCUCAGCCCCCACUGGACACCCUUCAGGGUUCCCAAAGCCAGCCAGCUGCGGCAGUGACGCCUGGAAGGACAUCUGGUGGCCCUUAGGGGAGCGGCCCCUGCUGAGCCCUGUGAACCGUGUCCUCCUCUUCCCUCAGGCAAUGGCUGUGUGAACCGCUGGCUGCUGUCGUGCCCUCAUCUCUGGGCACGUUGCCUGCUUCCCCCCAGCGCCGGCUUCUCUCCUGAGAGCACCUGUCACUCCAUCCCCAGCAGGGAGGGACUGUCAGCUCACAAGGCCCUCUUUGUUUCCCGUUCCCAGACAUAAGCCCAAGGGGCCCCUGCACCCAAGGCCCCCGUCCCUCGGUGGCCUCCCCAGACCCCUGGACACGACAGUUCUCAUCAGGCCGGUGGGCUUUGUGGUCCUCACCACCCCUGGCCGCAUCACCCGCUCCUCUUACACCUGCUGACCUUCGAAUGUUGCAGAGCACAGGACCUAUCUCCCUCGGGUCCUCUGGACCCACCCGCCUCUUCCUGCCCUGUCCGCGCAGGGACAUCACCCACAUGCCCCAGCUCUCAGACCCUGCACCUCUGUGUCCCUGGCCACAGCAAGGGUCCGUUCACCCCCUCCCUCCAUUCCCAAUUAUCUGGGUCCUCUGGAUGCUUGUUUCUUGAAUCAGGUUCCCCUUGCCCCCUAGCCACCAUAGGCAGCCUCUGACAGUGUCUCUUUGUCUUCUGCGGCGAUUAAACGUGUCCUUUUGAUCCUUGCCCGACUUCUUCUCCCAGCUCCUGGCCCCUGGCCCAGGGCCCUGCUUGCUGUUUUUCUCUCUGUUCCUCGGGGCGUAGUACACAGCAAGCACCCAAAUGGGGGAGGUUUUGGAAUGAGAGGAGGAAACAUGGAUACCUGUAACAUCUGGUGGCUCUUCCCCCAGCAGUUUGUGUGUUUGUACGUAAUUGUUUUCCACCCUGGAUCGCAGCGUGACGUGACGUGCAGUUUUGCCCUGUGCUGAGGAGCCACAUGAAUCUUCCCCUGGCUGUUGCCGCCCCACAGCAUUCCCAGUGUAACCGUCCCCUUGCUGACAAAUGGGUCUGUGCUCAUCUGUAUUGAUUUCCUUGGAGUUCUGCAAGUGGCACUUAAGUGUCAAAAA